UCUCUUUAAAGGUGCAGAAGAAGCGAAAUCUGAUCUAUUAGUUGUAAGGAGUUCUUCCUGUUUGAUGAUUCAGACUUCUGAGAUGGGCUGGUCCCCUAGAUCGGCUACUAAUGCUUAUCUUGACACCGUCAAGCUGAUGGUGUUUGAAGAAAUGGAUCAUUUCCACCCAUUCUUCACCAUAUAUCAUUUCUGCAUUUUUCAUAACCUAACCACCCACGAAUUCAGAUGAGCCCAUUCAGUUUU